CUCCACACGCCACAACAGUCAUCGGUCCUCUGUGAAGUCACAAAGCCUUGCUUGGACGGGUUCCUGCUCAUGGCGUCAUAAAUGCUGGCGGGACCUUGAAGAGCUAAGGAGGGCAAGUGCCUUCUUGGCACCAGCGUCAGAGACCAAAAGGACAACUGAUCUUAGACUCCAGAGAGAAGAGAGCUCUAGUCCACUUUUUGUGGCCACAGGACAUUCUUACACAGUGGAUGUGAAAGGAACAAUUAAACCUCAAACCAAGUCACUCUGAGGAGAGGAGGUACAUGUCAUUCUGUCAGCAUCUGAAAAAUGGGAUUCAGAAAUGUGUUUUGCAAAAUUGUGCUUUCCAAGGAAAGGAAAGAAAAACACACACAGGGCAGUGUGUUGCAAGGUUCUUGUCAAAGGAAGAAGAUCCAAGGAUGAAUGUUGCAAGACUGUGCUGCUAAAGGAAGUGGCUUCUUAGCUCAUUUGAUCUGGAACAAAGCUUAGAGAUGACCUUGGCCACUCCUCUGGCUGGACAGAAGGAGAAACUAAGACCUGGGGAGGGGAAGGCAUGUGCCCAAGGCCAAGCAGGGAGUUCCUGAUGAGCUGGCAGGUGUUACUAGGCUUCUUGACCCCCUGCUGCCUGCCACCUUUCCUCUAGUCCUAAAGCAUGGAUCAUGAUGAUCACUUCUGAUUUUGCUCCACGUCCCCAGCCCACCCUCCACACUCACAUUCCCUUGGACAGCACCCCAGGGUCACAAGAUGGGACUACAUCUGUGAACCUGGAUCUGCACCUGCCAGAUGCAAGGGGCCUAAGCCAGCAAGAGGCUGGGGUGAGCUGGAGAGGAAGGAGCAGAGUCUGAUGAUGUGGCCUGACCUCAGAAAGGAAGCCUGGUCACCAGGGGGAAUUUCCCCGGGGGUGAGGUCUCAUGUCUAUGCAAAUAGUGCACUCCAAUUAACCUGGACCCCAGAACAGGAGAGGGCAAAGGGAGACGGCGGGAGGAGACAGGGAAAUGGGGAAGGCAGGUGGUAGAGCUUGACAACAGAGCACCAUACCAGGCUCCUCCUAUGCUCCAUCUCAUUUUGUCCCUGAAACAGCCACCCAAGUAGGAAAGCGGAGGCCUCAGGCCCAGUGAGGGGAUGGCAGGUUUGCCCAAGAGAACGCAGUGCAACCCCAAGGGGACACCAGACCUUGGACACCAGCUGGGGACACCAGCAAUGCUGACGGGGGAGUUGGAGCUGCUGCUGUUGUUGCUGACCAGUCUCAACCUGGCUUCCGUGAUCAAGAGGAGGAGGACAUGUGCUGAGCAGAGCAGGAAUUGGGAGACCCAGAUGCUAACCCCAGACCUAGCCUUUAGUGAUACUAUGGUCACUGCACCUGGAUUGUCGAACUCAUGAAAGAAGAGCAUUGGUUUGGAGGGAUUCUAAGACCAUCUCCAGCUCGAUUCAUGAGGUAUUGCCUGUACCUUCAGGCAGUUUGAACACUUGGACCCUCGGUUUCCUUAUUAGUGGAAUAAGGGUGAUGGCCA